rnacentral:rRNA from 1 species
AUUGAACGCUGGCGGCAGGCCUAACACAUGCAAGUCGAGCGGAUGAAGGGAGCUUGCUCCUGGAUUCAGCGGCGGACGGGUGAGUAAUGCCUAGGAAUCUGCGUGGUAGUGGGGGAUAACGUCCGGAAACGGGCGCUAAUACCGCAUACGUCCUGAGGGAGAAAGUGGGGGAUCUUCGGACCUCACGCUAUCAGAUGAGCCUAGGUCGGAUUAGCUAGUUGGUGGGGUAAAGGCCUACCAAGGCGACGAUCCGUAACUGGUCUGAGAGGAUGAUCAGUCACACUGGAACUGAGACACGGUCCAGACUCCUACGGGAGGCAGCAGUGGGGAAUAUUGGACAAUGGGCGAAAGCCUGAUCCGGCCAUGCCGCGUGUGUGAAGAAGGUCUUCGGAUUGUAAAGCACUUUAAGUUGGGAGGAAGGGCAGUAAGUUAAUACCUUGCUGUUUUGACGUUACCAACAGAAUAAGCACCGGCUAACUUCGUG